rnacentral:lncRNA from 1 species
AAAUCAACUACAAAUAGUCUAGUAUUAACUGAUUGUAUUAAAAAUAUACAAAUAUUUCACAAAAAAAGUGUAGAACAAAACAUAUUUUACAUUUCAUAAUAUUGCGAAAACGCAUCAGUGGGACGAUACGAUAUAAUAUUUGGUACUACGUUUUAUGGCGCCGUGUGAUACUCAGCAUAGAUAAAAGGGGUUUAAUAAUACUCAGGGUUUAAUGAUACUCAGCAAAGCAAGUAGUAUGUAGGUGCGCUUGACACUUUUGGCUAGUGAUGCGAAGAGUCCGGAUUAAUCGUCCGUUCAAUCCGAAUAUCAAAUUAUUCCGAAUCAAUCCGGAUAUCUAAAUCGUCCGGAUACACGCCGCCCGUUCGUUCGACCGACAAUGAAAUAAAAGCUUGCGCGAAGUGACACGAAGUUCCACGUUCCACCGGCUAAGAGAAUCCGAAUUAAAUCGUCCGGACAAAUAACCCGGCAAUCGGCAAUAUCGUCGCGUCACCUUGUGUAAACCUAUUGCUUUAUUUAUCCUUAUUGUACUCAUUUAGAAACAUAAGAGACAAUAUGAGAACGCCCAAACUUUUUUGUAAAUAAAGCAUUUUUGUAGUGAUAUUUUGCAUCGUUUAAAAUACACUUGAUUUAUUACAUACAUAAUUAACUAUUUUAGUUUUAACAUCAUGUAGAAAUGCGUAAAAACGAAAUGUCUAAUGGGUUGCAUAAUGCAUACCUUAUAUUCGAAAAACAGCUAUAAAAAACGUUUAUCGGACGGUCGAGCAUCGAGCCCGAAACAUGGCAUAAUUUGCCGAACGGGCGAGACAUCGAGCGGAUGAAUUCAUCCGGAUGAAAAAACCGAAUUUUCAAUUCAUCCGAAUCAAUGCUGUCCGGAUAUUGAAUUAAUCCGGAUUUUUACAACACUACUUUUGGCACAUGUAUACAGUUUGACUGUGACAUAUUCGACACCUCCUUCGUGCCUUGUCAGGACUAUGGGUCAGCACAUGGCCUAUAUUGUCGAAACGUAAUUCGUUGAUUCCUGUUGCAAGAUUUCUAAUUACCGUGAUUUUCUCUGUUUUUAUAAGACGAAGUGCUAUAUAGGAUUUGAAAUCAAGUUGCGACAUUGAUGUAUCAUUGAAAAUGUUAUAAAAUUCCAUGCAUUGACAGUUAGGCUGUCAAUGGCAUUGAUGAAUAUAGGCCACCACCACUUUUUUCCCAGUACAUUACACCUAUAAUUGGCGAUGCCAUUAUCGUGCAAAUCCACUCCCGCCAUAUACUUGUUAUAUUGAGAUAUAACAUUGGGUUGAGGAACAGACUUAUCAACUCUUUUUUUCCUAUCAAAUCUUUUCACACGACUAAUAGGUUCAACGCCAAAAGUAUUACUAGCAACAGUCACCACCGAAUUGUCGUUCCAACGAACUAUUGAGACGUUUGAUAAUUUGUCAUAUGCCGCUGAGUAGGUCCCAAGGUCCUUCUUUCCUAUCGACUUAGGAUCUUCAACUGGACAUUUGUUAUUUCUGUUGUCCCUGAUGGUACCAGUAGCAAAAAAGCCAUUAUUUUUCAAGUGUACAAAUAAUUUAAAUGAGGAAAAAAAGUUAUCAAAAAAUAUUUGGUGGUUUAUAGGCUUUUCUACUACCGACAGCAGACUUAGAACAACAUCGCCACCAAGUCCAAGUGAAGAGUACUAUUUAUUGGGGUCCUGUCGUGCAUAUGGCAAAGAAUAAAAAAGAUACCCCCCAGGUGAACAAAGGCACCAAAUUUUAAACCCAAAUCGAACGGGCUUGCUCUUCAAAAACAUCUUACAAGAGUGCCUACCGAAAUAAGGCACCAAGCGAAAAACCUUCUACCACCUUCAAAAACAGAAGGCACCAAGCGUUUCAUCGUCGGACGAAUCGUCAAUCAAAUUCUGUUGAAAGUCCGGCGAGUUUGAAGUACCUGGCGAAUUUGGCAGAUCCUUCUCAGACCUUUUGUCACUGCCCACUGUCUCAGCUUUAGCCUGAAAAUCCUUGUCUGAGGGACCCUGUAACUCAAAUGUCCCUGCUAUAUCUUUCGGCUCCCCUACUUCGCAUAAAUUGGCCUCAUCAUCAAAGGUCUCUUCGUCGGUAAGGACAUCAGGGUCUGGUGGGAUAAAAAACCCCAUCGAUAUACCCUAAAACAAUUUUUGACAGGAACAAUCGAAUGUAUAAAACAAAUUUAAAUUUUGUGGAACAUAAUAAAUAAAUAUCACUAAGUUUAUAACUUACCUUCUCUUGUUCUAAAACAAUCUCCUCCAUAGCUUCUACUAAUUCUUUUUGAGUAAGAAACCGCCUAUAAGCCAUUUUAAACCUGUUUCACGACGACACGAACCGUAAAACACAAAUUCUUUCGCUAGACUGCAAAUCUAAGCACUUUAGUUCCCGACUAUUAUUCCUUUCUUGACAGGCUCAGACGUGAAAAAGUCACAUGUUAAUUUAUGGUUUAUACCAGUGAUGCGUUUUCGCAACAGCAGAUUUUGUUGCAUUUUUUUUAUCGCCAAAAAAGAUAACUGAUUGGUAAUAACAUAUGUACUGUAAGGAUUUAUGUUCAUAUUUGAAGAAAACAGUGUUUGCUUUAAAAAAAGAAACCCGAAACAAUUUUUUUUAGAAUUUAAUAUACAGCGAGAAAAAAAGAAAAUUUUUUACUACAAUUCGUCUUGCAUACAUUGAUUUGGUAAAAGAACAAACAUUUCCAAGUUUUUCUUAAAGUUGCAUUGUAGUUCUCUUAAAAUAAAUUAGAUAAUUCAAACAGAAAAUAAUUAGCUGCGACAAAAAAAAAAUUUGGUGUUGCGUAAAUGCAUCACUGGGGCAAAAUGGGUUAAACUUAUAAAAUCGUCCGAGUCUAGGAAAUUCAUAACUUUCUCAACAUAGUCGACUCUUCUCAUUAUGACCAGACAAUUAUCCUUGUCUGCUUUCGAAAGGGUUAAAUCAUUAUCCCGAAUUUUGUUUUUUAAAGAAAGCAGAUGUUCAUGAUGGAAAUUUAACGCACUACUAUUAAAAUUCUUAAAAUUUAAAAAACUUAUUAUUUUGGCUCUCAAAAUAUUUUAUCGUGUAUGUCUGUAGUAUGUUUUCAGCCUCUACAGCUAACAUCUCUCGUGUGCGCAAAUUCACCUUUUUGGAGAAAUUAUAUUUCAAGUUUAAAUUAAGCAACCUUUCUUCAUAUUGUGUAAACUUCACGCCAGAUAAAUCGCCUUGUUUAAGGUUUUGUAGUGGCAUUUAACUUCUUCACGCAGCCAUGUGUUUCUAGCAACAUACAAGGCGGUGUUAGCAGAUUUAUUUCUUGUUUUGCAUCUUAGGUGUAUAAAUUUCGGUGUUAAAUUAAAAAGAAGGCAUCGUUGAAGGAACCAAACUUUUAGCAACAUAUUUCUCCGUGUAAAAAGGUUCUUCUGGUAGUGUCGGAUGAGCUUUGCCUGAUUAGCAUUUUCCAACAAAAAGGCUUCAUCCAAUUUCUCAAAGAGACCAGGUACAACAUAAAGAAACGAAGAAAAACGACCAAGUCACGGUCUCACUCUUGGUUAUUUUUCUUCUUUUGUUUAUGUUGUACCUGGUCUCCUUGAGAAACUGGAUGAAGCCUUUUUGUUUUAUCUUGGUGCUGUUGAGAUUCGCUGUCACCUUCACAUUUUAGAUUUGGUUGACCCAGCCACCUAGCAUAGGAUGUAUAUCUCGUCCAGCUAUGACAUGGUUGAUUGUGUCAUGACAUGCUAUCAACGGCUCUUUCAACGUCUAAGAAGGUUCCUAGGGUGAUUUAUUUGCUGUUGAAACAUUACUCCACCCUCUGAGUUAUUUCGUGGAUCGCAUGAUUUAGAAGAUUUACCUGUAGGCAUAUUGGUGUCUUAGUAGGCAUAUUGGUGUCGAUGUCGAGGGCUAGCACUAGUACAUCGUCCCUAAUAUACCUUUCUAUAAGCUUUUCCUCUGGUUUCAGGAGAAAUGAUGUAAUGCAGAUCGGUCGGAAGGAUUCAGGUUUCGCGUCCCACUUUUGGUAGGAAUACUACUUUCGCUUCCGUCCAACUCUCUUGUAUAUGACGUGGCUAGCCUGGCCGGUAUUGUUUUUCAUAACGCGGGCAGCAGUAGUUCUUUGUACUGCUGUAGCAUGCUGGGUAUAAUACCAUCUAUUCCGGGAGACUUAAAUGGUUUGAAGGUGUCUAUCGUCCAUUUAACUUUCUCGUAGGCUACAACUAUUUUUGCCAGCUCCUUGUUCUGCCUUGCUCCUGUUUAGAAUAACAGGAGUCGAAUGUCGCCUUCAAGACUCCGGCACUGGAUUGAAGAACAGCGGACCUCUUGGCAAGGGAAUUGGCGUUCCGAUUUCCCUGCUGUGGUUGUGCCUCUUGAUCCAACAACAAAGACUCCCACCCUCUGUUGUUGGAAGAAGCUUCCACUAGGGUGCGAUAGCAUCCUUGGAGUAGUUCUGACGUAAAAUGCGAUGCAAGAACUGCCAAUCCGCAUCCGAGGGUAAGUAGUAGAAGUGGAAUCAGAAAACCGUGCAACUCCGUACUUUCUUGGAAGUUGGAACUAAAUAUGCCAUCCUCUCUGCGUUGCUUGGCUACUUCCCGAUUAGGAUCUUUAUUGAGAGCUUUGUGGACUCACUCGCAGUGGAUGAUUGUUUGACAAAACUUGACAAUGUUAAAAUUAGUGUUCCUAAACUGCCAACAGUCGCGUGUAUUCAUUACUGCAUCAUUUGAGGAAUCUGUGCCAGAUCAGUAAGACCUCGUCGGUUUUUUGGGGUUGCAAACUCGAUUUUUAAGUUAACUACAACAUGUCGCAUUAUACAAAGAUGCAUAAAAUAAAAACUACUUGUCAGUCAUGGGAUCAAGAAAGCAUGCAAAAUGCAAUAGUUAAAGUGCUGGAACAUAGGGUAGGAUACAAAAAAGCCAAUCAAAGCUUUAAUGUUCCGCAAUCCACCUUAGAAAAUCGUAUGACAAAAGUGAGAAAUAACAGAUAACUUUGUUAAAGAAACUAGUAAGAACGGUCUGGGUCGAUACAAGGCUGAUGCGUUUAGCGCUGCCCAAGAGGAUGGGCUAGUUUUGCAUAUCUUAUAAAUGGAAAGCAGACUAUUCGUAUUUACUUUAUCUGAAUGAAGAAUUCUUGCUUACGAACUAGCCAUACAGAACAACAUCAAUUACAAUUUCAAUACAGAAAAGAAAAUGGUCGAAGGAACUUCAAUUGGACGAACUAUAGGAUUUAAUCGACUAGCAAUAUUAAAGUUUUUACUCUGUUAACACAAGUUAAAAUGGAAAAUUUGACAUUCGCUGAAUUAGCAGACCUACAACUGGCUUAUGGCGCUGCUGAUGGUAAGGGAAGAUGCGCGUUGCGGAUUUACCAAGAACGCUUUCACCAGCGGCGCUUACCAAGUCCGGAUCAUUACGGAAGUCUCAUAAUGUGGGUGAAAGACCACGCACAUCAGUGCAUGUACCAGGCAUAGAAGAGAAAAUUUUAACGCAAAUUAACGAAUCUCCUUCCAUAAGUACCCGAGCUGUAGCGCACUCAUUGCGAAUAAACCAUUUUCGGGUAUUGGAGGUUUUACACGAACAACAAUUGCAUUUAUUACCGACGUUCAACAGUAUCUUUUUGCGUAAUUGAUUACAAUGUGGAUCUUCUUAAAGUAAAUGAGUACAAAUCAAAGUUUUUUUAUUCAGUUUUUUUUGAGGAGCUCGGACUUUAGGAUCAAUUAGUCAACCAAC